UUAGGCAUGCAGUCGCGCGAGAAGGGUUUUAUGCUUGCAUUUGACCCGGAAAGCGGCGAAAGGGAGAGUAACGCGUAGAUACCUACCCCCAGGCCCGGGAUAGCGGCGGGAAACUGCCGGUAAUACCGGAUAAUGUCUCCGGACCAAAGGUGUGAUUCCGUCUGGGGAUGGGUCUGCGUCCUAUUAGCUUGUUGGUGGGGUAACGACCUACCAAGGCCAAGAUGGGUAGCGGGUGUGAGAGCAUGGCCCGCCUCACUGGGACUGAGACACUGCCCAGACACCUACGGGUGGCUGCAGUCGAGAAUCUUCCGCAAUGGGCGCAAGCCUGACGGAGCGACGCCGCGUGCGGGAUGAAGGCCUUCGGGUUGUAAACCGCUGUCAGAGGGGAACAAAUCCAUGAGGGCAAUCCCUGAUGGUUGAGUUAUCCUCAGAGGAAGCGCAGGCUAAGUUCGUGCCAGCAGCCGCGGUAACACGAACUGCGCGAACGUUAUUCGGAUUUACUGGGCUUAAAGAAUUCGUAGGCGGCUUUGCAGGUGGGGUGUGAAAUCCCCCGGCUCAACCGGGGAACUGCGCUCCAAACCGCAAGGCUUGAGGGAGAUAGAGGUGAGCGGAACUCACGGUGGAGCGGUGAAAUG
rnacentral:rRNA from 1 species